GAUGAAGAACGUAGCGAAAUGCGAUAAGUAGUGUGAAUUGCAGAAUUCAGUGAAUCAUCGAAUCUUUGAACGCACAUUGCGCCUCCUGGCAUUCCGGGAGGCAUGCCUGUUCGAGCGUCAUCAAACCCCAUCGUGCAAAUGAAUUAUUUUUUUUGCGCGGAAGUGACGAUUGAGCGAGAAUAACAAAUCCUCUCGCACCUCGUCGAAAUGAUUGCGGGCGGAAUUUGGGAUCGGGUUCCUCGGCGUAGUGUAUCAAUGCAUAUUUAUGCAACUUGCCGCGGAGUUGAGCCUGACCCACGCGUUCUCGCCGUACAAACACCUCAUUACUUUACAAGUUUUUGGCCUCGGAUCAGGUAGGGAUACCCGCUGAACUUAAGCAUAUCAAUAAGCGGAGGA
rnacentral:misc_RNA from 1 species